GAUAAACGCUGGCGGCGUGCAUGAGACAUGCAAGUCGAACGAAGGAUCGGGCUUGCUCGAUCCUUAGUGGCGGACGGCUGAGUAACGCGUAGGUGACCUACCCCGAAGUGGGGAAUAACUGCCCGAAAGGGUGGCUAAUACCGCAUGUGGUCGCACGUUCAUUCGUGCGAGUAAAGCCGCAAGGCGCUUCGGGAGGGGCCUGCGUCCGAUUAGCUCGUUGGUGGGGUAAUGGCUUACCAAGGCGACGAUCGGUAGGUGGUCUGAGAGGACGAUCACCCAGACUGGGACUGAGACACGGCCCAGACUCCUACGGGGGGCAGCAGUCGGGAAUUUUGCUCAAUGGGGGAAACCCUGAAGCAGCAACGCCGCGUGAGGGAUGAAGGCCUUCGGGUUGUAAACCUCUUUUGUCAGGGACGAUGAUGACGGUACCUGGCGAAUAAGCCACGGCUAACUACGUG
rnacentral:rRNA from 1 species